GAUGAAGAACGCAGCGAAAUGCGAUAAGUAAUGUGAAUUGCAGAAUUCAGUGAAUCAUCGAAUCUUUGAACGCACAUUGCGCCCGCCAGUAUUCUGGCGGGCAUGCCUGUUCGAGCGUCAUUACAACCCUCAGGCCCCCGGGCCUGGCGUUGGGGAUCGGCGGAAGCCCCCUGUGGGCACACGCCGUCCCUCAAAUAUAGUGGCGGUCCCGCCGCAGCUUCCAUUGCGUAGUAGCUAACACCUCGCAACUGGAGAGCGGCGCGGCCAUGCCGUAAAACACCCAACUUCUGAAUGUUGACCUCGAAUCAGGUAGGAAUUCCCGCUGAACUUAAGCAUAUCAAUAAGCGGAGGA
rnacentral:misc_RNA from 1 species